rnacentral:tRNA from 1 species
AGGGCUAUAGCUCAGUUAGGUAGAGCACCUCGUCGAGAAGGUCUACGGUUCGAGUCCGUAUAGCCCUA